UCAUUACAGUUAGCAGUAGUGCUCAGC
rnacentral:sRNA from 1 species